rnacentral:rRNA from 1 species
UGGGGAAUUUUGCACAAUGGGGGAAACCCUGAUGCAGCGACGCCGCGUGAUUUAGAAGGCCUUCGGGUUGUAAAAAUCUUUUCUAUGGGAAGAAAAUGACAGUACCAUAGGAAUAAGGACCGGCUAAUUACGUGCCAGCCGCCGCGGUAAUACGUAAGGUCCGAGCGUUGUCCGGAAUCAUUGGGCGUAAAGGGUACGUAGGCGGGUAAGCAAGUUAGAAGUGAAAUCCUAUAGCUCAACUAUAGUAAGCUUUUAAAACUGCUCAUCUUGAGGUAUUGAAGGGAAAGUGGAAGUCCUAGUGUAGCGGUGAAAUGCGCAGAUAUUAGGAGGAAUACCGGUGGCGAAGGCGACUUUCUGGCCAUAACCUGACGCUGAGGUACGAAAGCGUGGGUAGCAAACAGG